rfam:Pan troglodytes isolate Yerkes chimp pedigree #C0471 (Clint) chromosome 14, whole genome shotgun sequence.
GACAGUUUGGCUUAGUGGUUAAGAGCUUUGGUACCAGAUGGAAUGGGUUCAAAUCCCAACUCUCU